GACGAACGCUGGCGGCGUGCUUAACACAUGCAAGUCGAACGGAAAGGCCCUGCUUGCAGGGUACUCGAGUGGCGAACGGGUGAGUAACACGUGGGUGAUCUGCCCUGCACUUCGGGAUAAGCCUGGGAAACUGGGUCUAAUACCGGAUAGGAGCCAUUUUUAGUGUGAUGGUUGGAAAGUUUUUUCGGUGUAGGAUGAGCUCGCGGCCUAUCAGCUUGUUGGUGGGGUAAUGGCCUACCAAGGCGGCGACGGGUAGCCGGCCUGAGAGGGUGGACGGCCACAUUGGGACUGAGAUGCGGCCCAGACUCCUACGGGAGGCAGCAGUGGGGAAUCUUGCACAAUGGGCGCAAGCCUGAUGCAGCGACGCCGCGUGGGGGAUGACGGCCUUCGGGUUGUAAACUCCUUUCGCUAGGGACGAAGCUUUUUGUGACGGUACCUAGAUAAGAAGCACCGGCUAACUACGUG
rnacentral:rRNA from 1 species